CGCGAUGACGUCAGCGUGUCCUCAAGCCGGUUAGAGUCGCGCGAGUCUGCGCAAUGCGCGCCAAAACAAAAGAUGAGGUGUUUUAAUUAAAAAUGUAUUAUUAUUAUUAUUAUUAUUAUUAUUAUUAUUAUUAUUAUUAUUAUUAUUACUAUUAUUAUUAUUAUUAUAAACAAAUGUAACAGAAUGACAGUAUAAAAUAUGCCAGGGAGCAAGACAAUAAUGUAAUGAAACAGUUUUCAUAGCUUUCUUAUUAGAAGAGUCAGAAAUCAAACACUUUUUUUUUUUAAGUUUUAAAUCACAUUUUUUUAAUGAGUUUUAAAUCUUCAAGAUUUAAAAAAUUCUAAAAUUCUAAAGAAAGGCUUACGAUUACAAAAUUGACAUUUAUGUAUAAAAUAUUUAGCCAGGAACAAAAUAAGGUUGAAUAAAUAAAAAACACCGUUAACUCUCGUGUGUAACGUUAGCUAUAUCCACAACAUUUCCUUAUUUCAAAAAAAAAAAAAAAAAAAAAAAAAAAAAAAAAAAAAAAAAAAAAAAAAAAACUUAGUAUAUUAACAAUACAAUAAAAAUAAAAAAAAUCACAAAAGGAGCAAGUUACAUCAAAGUCAUCAGAGAUAAACCUUUGUAGAAAACACUUUGUGUUUUAAAAAAGAUGAGAUGAGAUGCGUGUUUUCUAGCGAUAUAUCUAUAUAUUCAAUAAUACAAUUUUAAUAUAUAAUUUUAGUUCCCAAUCGAAAUAGAAAAUUCAGAUGUUGUGGAAUUUUUGUUUUUGUACAUUUUAGACAUUGUUUAAUACUGUCUCCACAAGACUGUAGCCCAAGAUUAGAUUUUUGCUGAUUGCUUAUGUUGUUUUCUAAAUUAAAAUUAAAAUAAUAAUUAAAAAAACUUUAUACUAAAACUUAAUAUUAUACAUAUAUAAAAAACGUUUUAUUGAUAAUAGUAAUACUUUUGCUGAAUGGACACAUUUUGACACAUUUUCAUUCGUCCAGACCGCUAGAUGUCAGCAUUGAGCUUCAUAUGAGGCGCGCAGCAGCAGCGGCGCAUGCGCAGUGUCUCGCUCAGACCGGCGCCGCGCGUGUUUUGAGAUCAGCGGCUCGCGCUGUUGAUGUUGUUUACAGUCUUACAGUCUCAGGGGACUGGCUUCUCGAGGCAUCCCUACAGAUGAUGAGCAGGCCACCGGUCUGGAGUAGAUCGUGUUAGAGGCAUCCAAGAAAGGAACUUGUACUGUGUGCUAUUGUACUGUUGUGGCUUCUUGUGAAAUAAAGAGUGCUGUGUGAGCAAACAAUGCUGUCUUCUUCACUAGGAUCCAUACAGCAUCUUAAAACCGCAGGAGUAUGCAGGCUCCAAACACGAUUUGACAUAAGAGCCCCUUAACAAGAACCCUCUUAUUGUCUCCUCUGUAACCAACGAGAGGAUUGCUGGUUGUGUUUUAUGAGCCAUCGUGACAACAUAGUGAUCUUUGGUCAAACCCAUUAACCUCUGUGUCUGUUUUAUGAAGAUGAAGAGGACAAAACUGCAGUGGUUUGGUUUUGGUUACAUCAGGGUGAGGCCCAGCGCUGCCCAUGCUGUGGCUCUAACUACAAACUUGUUCCACACGAGUUACCCCACUGAAAUAUACACUUCACCGCAGAGGCAGCCUGGACACUCCCAUACUGACUCAGACACCAUAGAUACUCUUAUAAUGCACAGUCCCCUUGGAUGUUCCCUGUUCUGAAGAGUAGAAUUGCACUUUAUAGUGGCCUAGUUAAUUGUUUCUCAUUGGUUGCUUCACGAAAGCAGACUUAACAUAAAGAAAACAGGCUUGCUUCAAAUCUCGGCAGUGUUUUCCUAAUUGUGAAUGUUGGUUUCAUUAUUUUUAGAAGAGUCGUUUACAUGCCCUGUUGUUUGCUGUGCAGUAUCAGCUGCUUAAACACAUUCCUGAUUUUCCUUACAAAUGCAAUGCAUUCCUUGCCCUGUUACAUAAAUGAGCUGUUACUUUUGCACAUUCUUGCAAAUGAGAUAAUGUCUACAGGCACUGUAUUUGAUUUUUUUCAAUGUUUAGACAAAGAUUGUACACUCCCAGUUAUGUGGGACUUACUGUGAAAGUCUUGAGACUGUAUGCUCUCUUUGUGGAACUAUUCUUUAAAAUAAAUUUAGUGUUUCAACAUG